AAAAACGUUAAGGGAAAAGUCAUCGUUUCCACCCCAAACUAUAGUUGAAAAGUCGAAUCCACACCUAAACUAUAUAAGUGACCUAUUACACACCUUAACUAUAAAAAAGUGAUACUUUUUACUGACGUAGUGCUGACGUGGCAGCGCGUGUAAAACACUACACCACAUGCAAGUGGUGGUAGCCUGACAGGGUGCAAAU
rnacentral:lncRNA from 1 species